rnacentral:rRNA from 1 species
AACGAACGCUGGCGGCAUGCCUAACACAUGCAAGUCGAACGAGACCUUCGGGUCUAGUGGCGCACGGGUGCGUAACGCGUGGGAACCUGCCCUUAGGUUCGGAAUAACUCCCCGAAAGGGGUGCUAAUACCGGAUAAUGUCUUCGGACCAAAGUUUUAUCGCCUUUGGAUGGGCCCGCGUUGGAUUAGCUAGUUGGUAGGGUAAAAGCCUACCAAGGCGACGAUUCAUAGCUGGUCUGAGAGGAUGAUCAGCCACACUGGGACUGAGACACGGCCCAGACUCCUACGGGAGGCAGCAGUGGGGAAUAUUGGACGAUGGACGAAAGCCUGAUCCAGCAAUGCCGCGUGAGUGAUGAAGGCCUUAGGGUUGUAAAGCUCUUUUACCCGGGAUGAUAAUGACAGUACCGGGAGAAUAAGCUCCGGCUAACUCCGUG